UACAGUGCAGGCGAGGCAACGGUAGGCCAGCUCUACGGGGCAACUAAACUGAGUGUCAAAAGUAGUGUUCACGUUUUGUGGAAUUUUCGACUGUUAAUGAUGAUAAAUAGCAGCAUAACUGGGAAUGGAAAAUACCUACAUCCAUAUCAGUGUGAAAUAGAAUUCUUCACCUCCAAUAGACAAUGCCAUAAAGGCGAAAAUGGUAUAACACUUGAGUAAUUACUAAACAGAUCGUUCGGAAUGGCGAGGGGCGGGCUAGCAAUGGCCACUCCUAUGAAGCAGGUCUUGGAGGCAACCGAACAGACAGACAAAGAGACCGAGAAACGGAGAUAAUGCAAGAACAAGCAGGGCGAAGUCAAGAAGCGGAAUCAGCAAUUAAGUGAACUCCCCCCCCCUCAUUCCCUCCCUUAUAUAUUGCAUAUUCAACUGUUCCGAAUAAUCGCCGAAACAAGAGAAAUUGUACCCGAUGCUGAGGGCGGCGUAUCAGAACUAAUCUUUGACAUCUCCCGGCUGCAAUGAUGCAAAGUACAGCCACUCCAAUGUAUCUAGUCUAUCUGGAGGACGAUUCGCUCUGAGCGUCGGGUCGGAAAAAUAUGCAGCUAGUGUUCCGGGAAAAACAAGCAGGCAGUGCGCGCAGCCCGUCUCACCACCCGUGCGAAGUUUCAACGCACUCUAAUG